rnacentral:lncRNA from 1 species
UAUUAUAGUAGGAUAGAAAAAGUAGAAUGAUUUCUAAUUAUGAUAUAAAAACAUUCCCUAAUUUACAUUAGUGGAUCAUUCUGCAGAACCUAAAUAUGCCAGAUCAUACUCUAUAUGAUAUUAAUAUCUCUCAAAGAUAUAACAAUAAUAAUAGUUGCUGGCCACAAUCAGAAUUGAACCCACUCUUCAAAGUUACCAUCUUGGAGACUGGAUUUAAUGUGAAGUCUCACACAUCCAGUUUUUCAGGAGUGGUCCAGACUCGAUGCAUUAUCCCAUCCUUCAAUCUUAUGGUUAACUGCCUCACGUGUGUUGGCCAAUCUGUGAUAACUCUAAAAGUUGCUGCUGCCAGAUAGAGUAUAUCCAAUGUUGGUAUGGCAGCUUAAUUAAAUAAUCUAACUUAAUAUCAUCUGCUGCUACUUUGAUCAGUAACAGUUGAUGUUUGGUUAUGUUAUGUUAUAUUUCUUAUAAGUCAGAGAAUCACUAUGUAUGAAUCUGAGUAUUUAGGAUCUAUAUAUGUUGUCUGUAUUCAAUAAUUAGCAUUUUAAGAUUAUGCAUAAUAUAAAAAAUGUUUAAAUGAUAUCAAUUC